rnacentral:rRNA from 1 species
GGACAAUACUGACGCUGAGAUGCGAAGCGUGGGGAGCAAACAGGAUUAGAUACCUGGUAGUCCACGCUGUAAACGAUGUCGAUUUGGAGUUUGGGGGCAUGACCCUUGGGCUCGGGAGCUAACGCGUUAAAUCGACCGCUGGGGAGUACGGCCGCAAGGUUAAAACUCAAAUGAAUUGACGGGGGCCCGCACAAGCGGUGGAGCAUGUGGUUUAAUUCGAUGCAACGCGAAGAACCUUACCUGGUCUUGACAUCCAUAGAAUCUUUCAGAGAUGAGAGAGUGCCUUCGGGAGCUAUGAGACAGGUGCUGCAUGGCUGUCGUCAGCUCGUGUUGUGAAAUGUUGGGUUAAGUCCCGCAACGAGCGCAACCCCUAUCCUUUGUUGCCAGCACGUAAUGGUGGGAACUCAAAGGAGACUGCCGUUGAUAAAGCGGAGGAAGGUGGGGACGACGUCAAGUCAUCAUGGCCCUUACGACCAGGGCUACACACGUGCUACAAUGGCGUAUACAAAGGGAUGCGAAGGUGCGAACUGGAGCGGACCUCACAAAGUACGUCUAAGUCCGGAUUGGAGUCUGCAACUCGACUCCAUGAAGUCGGAAUCGCUAGUAAUCGUGAAUCAGAAUGUCACGGUGAAUACGUUCCCGGGCCUUGUACACACCGCCCGUCACACCAUGGGAGUGGGUUGCACCAGAAGUAGAUAGCUUAACCUUCGGGAGGGCGUUUACCACGGUGUGGUUCAUGACUGGGGUGAAGUCGUAACAAGGUAACCA